rnacentral:rRNA from 1 species
AGUGAACGCUGGCGGCGUGCCUAAUACAUGCAAGUCGAACGGAGUGGCGCACGGGUGAGUAAUGUAUAGCUAAUCUGCCCUACACUAGAGGACGACAGUUGGAAACGACUGCUAAUACUCUAUAGUGUCGGGUGAGGCUAUAUUGUAUCAGCUAGUUGGUGAGGUAAUGGCUCACCAAGGCUAUGACGAAUAACUGGUCUGAGAGGAAGAUCAGUAACACUGGACCUGAGGCAGCGUCCGGAAUCAUUGGGGAGGGAGCAGUAGGGAAUAGUGCUCAUGUGGCGAGAAUCUGAAGGAGCUUCGGCGCGUGGAGGAUGACACUUGUGGAAGCAUACACUCUUUUUAAUAGGGGAGCGGUACCUAAAGAAUAAGCACCGGCUAACUCCGUGCCAGCAGCCGCGGUAAUUC